AGCAGUCGCCACGGUAAUACGAGGGGGGCAAGCGUUGUUCGGAAUUAUUGGGCGUAAAGGGUGCGUAGGCGGUUUCGUAAGUCUUAUGUGAAAUCUAUGGGCUCAACCCAUAAUCUGCAUGGGAAACUGCGAGGCUUGAGGAUGGGAGAGGUGAGUGGAAUUUCCGGUGUAGCGGUGAAAUGCGUAGAUAUCGGAAGGAACACCUGUGGCGAAAGCGGCUCACUGGACCAUUUCUGACGCUGAUGCACGAAAGCUAGGGGAGCAAACAGGAUUAGAUACCCCAGUAGUCCCUGUCUCUUAUAC
rnacentral:rRNA from 1 species